UUGAACGCUGGCGGCAUGCCUUACACAUGCAAGUCGAACGCGAAAGGGGGCAACCCUGAGUAGAGUGGCGAACGGGUGAGUAAUGCAUCGGAACGUGUCCUGUAGCGGGGGACAACCUCGAGAAAUCGAGGCUAAUACCGCAUACGUCCUGAGGGAGAAAGCGGGGGAUCUGCAAGGACCUCGCGCUCAUGGAGCGGCCGAUGUCGGAUUAGCUAGUUGGCGGGGUAAAGGCCCACCAAGGCUACGAUCCGUAGCUGGUUUGAGAGAACGACCAGCCACACUGGGACUGAGACACGGCCCAGACUCCUACGGGAGGCAGCAGUGGGGAAUUUUGGACAAUGGGGGCAACCCUGAUCCAGCCAUGCCGCGUGAGUGAAGAAGGCCUUCGGGUUGUAAAGCUCUUUCGGCCGGAACGAAAUCGCGUACGCAAAUAACGUGCGUGGAUGACGGUACUGGAAGAAGAAGCACCGGCUAACUACGU
rnacentral:rRNA from 1 species